CCCUUAGACGUUCUGGGCCGCACGCGCGCUACACUGGCGAAGGCAACGAGCUUUCCUUUACCGAAAGGUACGGGUAAUCUUUUGAAACUUCGUCGUGCUGGGGAUAGAUCCUUGCAAUUUUUGAUCUUAAACGAGGAAUGCCUAGUAAGCGCAAGUCAUCAACUUGCGUUGAUUACGUCCCUGCCCUUUGUACACACCGCCCGUCGCUACUACCGAUUGAAUGGUUUAGUGAGGCCUUCGGAUCCGCGACUCGUUUGUGGAGAAGUUGGACAAACUCAGUCAUUUAGAGGAAGUAAAAGUCGUAACA
rnacentral:rRNA from 1 species